rnacentral:rRNA from 1 species
AUGAACGCUAGCUACAGGCUUAACACAUGCAAGUCGAGGGGCAGCAUGGUCUUAGCUUGCUAAGGCCGAUGGCGACCGGCGCACGGGUGAGUAACACGUAUCCAACCUGCCGUCUACUCUUGGACAGCCUUCUGAAAGGAAGAUUAAUACAAGAUGGCAUCAUGAGUCCGCAUGUUCACAUGAUUAAAGGUAUUCCGGUAGACGAUGGGGAUGCGUUCCAUUAGAUAGUAGGCGGGGUAACGGCCCACCUAGUCUUCGAUGGAUAGGGGUUCUGAGAGGAAGGUCCCCCACAUUGGAACUGAGACACGGUCCAAACUCCUACGGGAGGCAGCAGUGAGGAAUAUUGGUCAAUGGGCGAGAGCCUGAACCAGCCAAGUAGCGUGAAGGAUGACUGCCCUAUGGGUUGUAAACUUCUUUUAUAAAGGAAUAAAGUCGGGUAUGGAUACCCGUUUGCAUGUACUUUAUGAAUAAGGAUCGGCUAACUCCGUGCCAGCAGCCGCGGUAAUACGGAGGAUCCGAGCGUUAUCCGGAUUUAUUGGGUUUAAAGGGAGCGUAGAUGGAUAUUUAAGUCAGUUGUGAAAGUUUGCGGCUCAACCGUAAAAUUGCAGUUGAUACUGGAUAUCUUGAGUGCAGUUGAGGCAGGCGGAAUUCGUGGUGUAGCGGUGAAAUGCUUAGAUAUCACGAAGAACUCCGAUUGCGAAGGCAGCCUGCUAAGCUGCAACUGACAUUGAGGUUCGAAAGUGUGGGUAUCAAACAGGAUUAGAUACCCUGGUAGUCCACACGGUAAACGAUGAAUACUCGCUGUUUGCGAUAUACUGCAAGCGGCCAAGCGAAAGCGUUAAGUAUUCCACCUGGGGAGUACGCCGGCAACGGUGAAACUCAAAGGAAUUGACGGGGGCCCGCACAAGCGGAGGAACAUGUGGUUUAAUUCGAUGAUACGCGAGGAACCUUACCCGGGCUUAAAUUGCAGAUGAAUUACGGUGAAAGCCGUAAGCCGCAAGGCAUCUGUGAAGGUGCUGCAUGGUUGUCGUCAGCUCGUGCCGUGAGGUGUCGGCUUAAGUGCCAUAACGAGCGCAACCCUUGUUGUCAGUUACUAACAGGUUCCGCUGAGGACUCUGACAAGACUGCCAUCGUAAGAUGUGAGGAAGGUGGGGAUGACGUCAAAUCAGCACGGCCCUUACGUCCGGGGCUACACACGUGUUACAAUGGGGGGUACAGAGGGCCGCUACCACGCGAGUGGAUGCCAAUCCCCAAAACCUCUCUCAGUUCGGACUGGAGUCUGCAACCCGACUCCACGAAGCUGGAUUCGCUAGUAAUCGCGCAUCAGCCACGGCGCGGUGAAUACGUUCCCGGGCCUUGUACACACCGCCCGUCAAGCCAUGGGAGCCGGGGGUACCUGAAGUGCGUAACCGCGAGGAGCGCCCUAGGGUAAAACUGGUGACUGGGGCU